UACGGAAGGUCCGGGCGUUAUCCGGAUUUAUUGGGUUUAAAGGGAGCGCAGGCCGCCGUGCAAGCGUGCCGUGAAAAGCAGCGGCCCAACCGCUGCCCUGCGGCGCGAACUGCGUGGCUUGAGUGCGCCGGAAGCGGGCGGAAUUCGUGGUGUAGCGGUGAAAUGCUUAGAUAUCACGAAGAACCCCGAUUGCGAAGGCAGCCCGCUGUGGCGCCACUGACGCUGAGGCUCGAAGGUGCGGGUAUCGAACAGG
rnacentral:rRNA from 1 species